rnacentral:misc_RNA from 1 species
UUAAGUUCAGCGGGUAUCCCUACCUGAUCCGAGGUCAACCUAUGAUAAAUGGGGGGUUUUCACAGAUGGCCAGCCGUUCACCCACAGUUCAAGCGAGAAGUGCUGGACAGCAGCUUUUACAACGCCGCAAACGCGUGGGGACAGACCGCCUCUCAAUUUCGGUGGGGAGGAUGCUUCAUCAAAUAUAUAAUGAGUCGCCU